GACGAACGCUGGCGGCGUGCUUAGCACAUGCAAGUCGAACGGAAAGGCCCUGCUUUUGUGGGGUGCUCGAGUGGCGAACGGGUGAGUAACACGUGAGUAACCUGCCCUUGACUUUGGGAUAACUUCAGGAAACUGGGGCUAAUACCGGAUAGGAGCUCCUGCUGCAUGGUGGGGGUUGGAAAGUUUCGGCGGUUGGGGAUGGACUCGCGGCUUAUCAGCUUGUUGGUGGGGUAGUGGCUUACCAAGGCUUUGACGGGUAGCCGGCCUGAGAGGGUGACCGGCCACAUUGGGACUGAGAUACGGAGCAGACUCCUACGGGAGGCAGCAGUGGGGAAUAUUGCACAGUGGGCGGAAGCCUGAUGCAGAAGCGCCGCGUGCGGGAUGACGGCCUUCGGGUUAUAAACAGCUUUCGCCUGUGACGAAGCGUGAGUGACGGUAAUGGGUAAAGAAGCACCGGCUAACUACGUG
rnacentral:rRNA from 1 species